AUUGAACGCUGGCGGCAGGCCUAACACAUGCAAGUCGAACGAGUGGCGGACGGGUGAGUAACGCCUGGGAAACUGCCUGAUGGAGGGGGGUCACUACUGGAAACGGUGGCUAAUACCGCAUACCAUCAGCUGUGCCCAGAUGGGAUGAGCUGGUUGGGGGGGUAAGGGCUGACCAAGGCGACGAUCCCUAGCUGGCCUGAGCGGAUAACCAGCCACACUGGGACUGAGACACGGUCCAGACUCCUACGGGAGGCAGCAGUGGGGAAUAUUGCGCAAUGGGCGCAAGCCUGAUGCAGCCAUGCCGCGUGUAUGAAGAAGGCCUUCGGAUCGUAAAGCACUUUUGGCAGGGAGGCGUUACCCGAAGAAGAAGCAACGGCUAACUACGUGCCAGCCGCCGCGGUAAUAC
rnacentral:rRNA from 1 species